UUCUAAGGGCGUUGAAGCAUGAUCGCAAGGACAUGUGGAGCGCUUAGAAGUGAGAAUGCCGGUGUGAGUAGCGAAAGACGGGUGAGAAUCCCGUCCACCGAUUGACUAAGGUUUCCAGAGGAAGGCUCGUCCGCUCUGGGUUAGUCGGGUCCUAAGCUGAGGCCGACAGGCGUAGGCGAUGGAUAACAGGUUGAUAUUCCUGUACCACCAUUAUUCGUUUUAAGCGAUGGGGGGACGCAGUAGGAUAGGCGAAGCGUGCUGUUGGAGUGCACGUCCAAGCAGUGAGAUUGAGUGUUAGGCAAAUCCGGCACUCUUAAGAUUGAGCUGUGAUGGGGAGAGGAACUUGUUCCUCGAGUCGUUGAUUUCACACUGCCGAGAAAAGCCUCUAGCUAGAAUAACGGUGCCCGUACCGCAAACCGACACAGGUAGUCAAGAUGAGAAUUCUAAGGUGAGCGAGCGAACUCUCGUUAAGGAACUCGGCAAAAUGACCCCGUAACUUCGGGAGAAGGGGUGCUCUUUGAGGUUCACGCUUCGAAGAGCCGCAGUGAAUAGGCCCAAGCGACUGUUUAUCAAAAACACAGGUCUCUGCUAAACCGUAAGGUGACGUAUAGGGGCUGACGCCUGCCCGGUGCUGGAAGGUUAAGAGGAGUGGUUAGCGCAAGCGAAGCUACGAAUCGAAGCCCCAGUAAACGGCGGCCGUAACUAUAACGGUCCUAAGGUAGCGAAAUUCCUUGUCGGGUAAGUUCCGACCCGCACGAAAGGCGUAACGAUUUGGGCACUGUCUCAACGAGAGACUCGGUGAAAUCAUAGUACCGGUGAAGAUGCCGGUUACCCGCGACAGGACGGAAAGACCCCGUGGAGCUUUACUGUAGCCUGAUAUUGAAAUUCGGUACAGUUUGUACAGGAUAGGUAGGAGCCUUAGAAGCGUGAGCGCUAGCUUACGUGGAGGCAUUGGUGGGAUACUACCCUAAUUGUAUUGGAUUUCUAACCCGCAGCACUUAUCGUGCUGGGAGACAGUGUCAGGCGGGCAGUUUGACUGGGGCGGUCGCCUCCUAAAGAGUAACGGAGGCGCUCAAAGGUUCCCUCAGAAUGGUUGGAAAUCAUUCAUAGAGUGUAAAGGCAUAAGGGAGCUUGACUGCGAGACCUACAAGUCGAGCAGGGUCGAAAGACGGACUUAGUGAUCCGGUGGUUCCGCAUGGAAGGGCCAUCGCUCAACGGAUAAAAGCUACCCCGGGGAUAACAGGCUUAUCUCCCCCAAGAGUUCACAUCGACGGGGAGGUUUGGCACCUCGAUGUCGGCUCAUCGCAUCCUGGGGCUGUAGUCGGUCCCAAGGGUUGGGCUGUUCGCCCAUUAAAGCGGUACGCGAGCUGGGUUCAGAACGUCGUGAGACAGUUCGGUCCCUAUCCGUCGUGGGCGUAGGAAAUUUGAGAGGAGCUGUCCUUAGUACGAGAGGACCGGGAUGGACAUACCUCUGGUGUACCAGUUGUCGUGCCAACGGCAUAGCUGGGUAGCUAUGUAUGGACGGGAUAAGUGCUGAAAGCAUCUAAGCAUGAAGCCCCCCUCGAGAUGAGAUUUCCCAACUUCGGUUAUAAGAUCCCUCAAAGAUGAUGAGGUGAAU
rnacentral:rRNA from 1 species